rnacentral:rRNA from 1 species
AGACCCGAAACCCGGUGAUCUAGCCAUGGGCAGGUUGAAGGUUGGGUAACACUAACUGGAGGACCGAACCGACUAAUGUUGAAAAAUUAGCGGAUGACCUGUGGCUGGGGGUGAAAGGCCAAUCAAACCGGGAGAUAGCUGGUUCUCCCCGAAAGCUAUUUAGGUAGCGCCUCGUGAAUUCAUCUCCGGGGGUAGAGCACUGUUUCGGCUAGGGGGCCAUCCCGGCUUACCAACCCGAUGCAAACUGCGAAUACCGGAGAAUGUUAUCACGGGAGACACACGGCGGGUGCUAACGUCCGUCGUGAAGAGGGAAACAACCCAGACCGCCAGCUAAGGUCCCAAAGUCAUGGUUAAGUGGGAAACGAUGUGGGAAGGCCCAGACAGCCAGGAUGUUGGCUUAGAAGCAGCCAUCAUUUAAAGAAAGCGUAAUAGCUCACUGGUCGAGUCGGCCUGCGCGGAAGAUGUAACGGGGCUAAACCAUGCACCGAAGCUGCGGCAGCGACACUCAGGUGUUGUUGGGUAGGGGAGCGUUCUGUAAGCCUGCGAAGGUGGCCUGUGAGGGUUGCUGGAGGUAUCAGAAGUGCGAAUGCUGACAUAAGUAACGAUAAAGCGGGUGAAA